rnacentral:lncRNA from 1 species
ACACAGACGGCAGGGAAACAUAGAGAGAAGGGGGAAGCCUGUAGCCCCCUGGCUGGGUCCUUCCAUCUGAGUCUCAAGGGAGGUUCCAGCUUUAGAGCACCAGCUGAACCCAAUCCCAUCAGGAGCCCUCAGAGCUACUGAAAGGACAGAAACCUCAGGGCCGGCAAAGGGGUUACUCCAAAGAGCUUACCUUGAAAGCAUCCUGGGCCAGUCUCCGGGCAUUCAACACAGACUGUAGAGGAGGAGUUUUGUUUUGUUUUUUUUGGUCCGGGGAGCAUUGGGCCCACAUCAGCUGAACUUAAUCCUCUCAGGAGCCCUCAGAACCCAGGGAGGCCAAGACCCCUCCCCACUUAGAGAGCAGGGUCUUUGGAAAGAACAGAAACCUCAGGGGUUGCUCCAAUGGGCAUUCCUUGAAAGCAACCUGGGCCAGUCUCUGGGCAUUCAAAACAGAUUGUGGAGGAUAUUCUGGAAAGCAAGGAACUAGGUCUAAAACCAAGAAUAAAAUACCCAUCAAAACUGACUAUAUUCUUACAGGGGAAAGUAUGGUCAUUCAACACAACAGAAGAGUUCCAAGCAUUCAUAAAUAAAAGACCAGACCUGAACAGAAAAUUUGAUGUCCAACCACAGAACUCAAGAGAAUCGUCAAAAGGUACAACAGAAAAUGAGAAUGGAAGUAGAGAAGACAGUGCCAAAAGGAGCAAGACCACAUGGCAGCAUGAAAUGCCAACUGACAAGAGAGACAAAAAUUAGGUAAGAUAUCACUAUCUGAUGAAAACAUCACUUUACCUAAGUACUGUUUAUAAUGAUGUCACA